rnacentral:rRNA from 1 species
UGCCGGAUGUUCCACAUGAUCGCAUGUGAUUGUGGGAAAGAUUCUAUCGGCGUGGGAUGGGGUCGCGUCCUAUCAGCUUGUUGGUGAGGUAACGGCUCACCAAGGCUUCGACGGGUAGCCGGCCUGAGAGGGCGACCGGCCACAUUGGGACUGAGAUACGGCCCAGACUCCUACGGGAGGCAGCAGUGGGGAAUAUUGCACAAUGGGCGCAAGCCUGAUGCAGCGACGCCGCGUGAGGGAUGGAGGCCUUCGGGUUGUAAACCUCUUUUGUUUGGGAGCAAGCCUUCGGGUGAGUGUACCUUUCGAAUAAGCGCCGGCUAACUACGUGCCAGCAGCCGCGGUAAUACGUAGGGCGCAAGCGUUAUCCGGAUUUAUUGGGCGUAAAGGGCUCGUAGGCGGCUCGUCGCGUCCGGUGUGAAAGUCCAUCGCUUAACGGUGGAUCUGCGCCGGGUACGGGCGGGCUGGAGUGCGGUAGGGGAGACUGGAAUUCCCGGUGUAACGGUGGAAUGUGUAGAUAUCG